rnacentral:rRNA from 1 species
GUACACGCUGUGACUAGCAUAUCAAUAAGCGGAGGAAAAGAAACUAACAAGGAUUCCCCUAGUAACGGCGAGUGAAGCGGGAAGAGCUCAAAUUUGAAAUCUUAAAGGGUUUCCCUUUACGAAUUGUAGUUUAAAGAAGUGUUUUCUGUUGAGGUUUUGGUAAAAGUUCUUUGGAAUAGGACAUCAUAGAGGGUGAGAAUCCCGUAUUUGACCUUUACUUUCAACUUUGUGAUACACUUUCAAAGAGUCGGAUUGUUUGGGAAUGCAGUCCAAAAUGGGUGGUAAAUUUCAUCUAAAGCUAAAUAUUGGCGAGAGACCGAUAGCGAACAAGUACCGUGAGGGAAAGAUGAAAAGAACUUUGAAAAGAGAGUUAAACAGUACGUGAAAUUGUCAAAAGGGGAAGCGUUUGACACCAGUGUUGUUUUUCUGAAAAUCAAUUAAAGAACUGUUUAUGCUAAGCUGUUUAGACUUUAUCAGCUAUCUGUUUAGUUUUGAGCUUUUCUUUAAUGCACUUUUCAGUUAACAAGUCAACAUCAAUUUCUUUUGCUGUAAAAAAGCUUGAGGAAGGUGGCUUGAGAUUCGUCUUAAGUGUUUAUAGCCUCUUGCCUAUGCAGUCGGAGAGAUUGAGGUCUGCAGCGUAGAUCCUUCGGGGCUAAAUGCAUUUGUGCUAAGUUAUAGCAUUUUAUAGACAACUUGUUGACUAUGAUUUGUCUUGUAGCUUACUCGCUUAUGUUAUUUUACCUACGCUUAGGAUGUUGAAGAUGUAGCACAUCAU